AGAGUUUGAUCAUGGCUCAGAUUGAACGCUGGCGGCAUGCUUUACACAUGCAAGUCGAACGGUAACAGGCCUUCGGGCGCUGACGAGUGGCGAACGGGUGAGUAAUGCAUCGGAACGUGCCCAGUCGUGGGGGAUAACGCAGCGAAAGCUGUGCUAAUACCGCAUACGAUCUGCGGAUGAAAGCGGGGGACCUUCGGGCCUCGCGCGAUUGGAGCGGCCGAUGUCAGAUUAGGUAGUUGGUGGGGUAAAGGCUCACCAAGCCAACGAUCUGUAGCUGGUCUGAGAGGACGACCAGCCACACUGGGACUGAGACACGGCCCAGACUCCUACGGGAGGCAGCAGUGGGGAAUUUUGGACAAUGGGCGCAAGCCUGAUCCAGCAAUGCCGCGUGCAGGAAGAAGGCCUUCGGGUUGUAAACUGCUUUUGUACGGAGCGAAAAGGCUCCCUCUAAUACAGGGGGCUCAUGACGGUACCGUAAGAAUAAGCACCGGCUAACUACGUGCCAGCAGCCGCGGUAAUACGUAGGGUGCAAGCGUUAAUCGGAAUUACUGGGCGUAAAGCGUGCGCAGGCGGUUGUGUAAGACAGGCGUGAAAUCCCCGGGCUCAACCUGGGAAUGGCGCUUGUGACUGCACAGCUGGAGUGCGGCAGAGGGGGAUGGAAUUCCGCGUGUAGCAGUGAAAUGCGUAGAUAUGCGGAGGA
rnacentral:rRNA from 1 species